UUAAUAGUUACAGUUAAAAAA
rnacentral:piRNA from 1 species